UUGAUAAUGUAAAGAUGGACGUUUGAAAAAACGAAAUAAAUGUACAAGUUUUGCUACAAAUCUUAGUCAUUUGUUUCCAUUUGAAAAAUCAAAAAAAAAUUAUUAGGAAGUGAAACAUCUAAGUACUAAUAUAUGAAAAUCAAACGAGAAUUUAUUAGUAGUGGUGAGCGAAUUUUAAAUUUGUUUUAUAAAUAAAAGGAUAAAAAAAUGUGGAAUUCAUUUUAUGAUUUUUUGUUAAAGUCAAAAAUAUCUAAAAAAUUUUUAUUUAUAAAAAUAGAGUAGAUUGUUUUGUUAAAUGCAAUCGAAGAAAGGAGAUCCACCUUCUAAAACUUGUAACAUUAUUACCAAUAGCGUAAAGUACCGUGAGGGAAAGCUUGAAAAGUACCUUUAACAAAGUAAAAGGAGUGAAAAGUAUAAAAUUCU
rnacentral:rRNA from 1 species